rnacentral:rRNA from 1 species
UGGGGAAUUUUGGACAAUGGACGCAAGUCUGAUCCAGCCAUGCCGCGUGCGGGAAGAAGGCCUUCGGGUUGUAAACCGCUUUUGUCAGGGAAGAAACGAGUUUCUCUAAUACAGAGACUUAAUGACGGUACCUGAAGAAUAAGCACCGGCUAACUACGUGCCAGCAGCCGCGGUAAUACGUAGGGUGCAAGCGUUAAUCGGAAUUACUGGGCGUAAAGCGUGCGCAGGCGGUUAUGCAAGACAGAGGUGAAAUCCCCGGGCUCAACCUGGGAAUUGCAUUUGAGACUGCACGGCUAGAGUGUGUCAGAGGGGGGUAGAAUUCCACGUGUAGCAGUGAAAUGCGUAGAUAUGUGGAGGAAUACCGAUGGCGAAGGCAAUCCCCUGGACCUGUACUGACGCUCAUGCACGAAAGCGUGGGGAGCAAACA